rnacentral:misc_RNA from 1 species
GUGAAUCAUCGAAUUUUUGAACGCAAAUUGCACUCUCCGGUUUUCCGGGAGAGUAUGCCUGUUUGAGGGUCUGUUUAAAAAAUAAUCGAGGCUACUUCUUUGGUGUCUCUUCUUUAUUGGGUCAUCUUUCACCUUUCUGUUGUAAUCGACCUAAAAUUUUUUUUACGAUUUCUACUAACUUUUCUAAGAAUUUCUUGUACUUUCACGACAUCUAAAUCAUAGUAGGUUUGACCGCCUCUUCAUGUU